CCAAUAGCGUAUAUUAAAGUUGUUGCAGUUAAAAAGCUCGUAGUUGAACUUCGGGAUUUGCCCAUUGGUCAGGCUUAAUUGUCUGUACUGGUGUGUUAGAUCUCUACCUUCUGAGGAACUUUCAUGCCAUUUAUUUGGUGUGUUGGGGAAUCAGGACUGUUACUUUGAAAAAAUUAGAGUGUUUAAAGCAGGCUAACGUCUGAAUACAUUAGCAUGGAAUAAUGAAAUAGGACGGAAUGGUUCUAUUUCGUUGGUUUCUAGGAUCACCGUAAUGAUUAAUAGGGAUAGUUGGGGGCAUUAGUAUUCAAUUGUCAGAGGUGAAAUUCUUGGAUUUAUUGAAGACUAACUACUGCGAAAGCAUUUGCCAAGGAUGUUUUCAUUAAUCAAGAACGAAAGUUAGGGGAUCGAAGACGAUCAGAUACCGUCGUAGUCUUAACCAUAAACUAUGCCGACUAGGGAUCGGACGAAGUUAAUUUUAUAAUGACGCGUUCAGCACCUUACG
rnacentral:rRNA from 1 species